CCUACGGGAGGCAGCAGUCGAGAAUCAUUCACAAUGGGGGAAACCCUGAUGGUGCGACGCCGCGUGGGGGAAUGAAGGUCUUCGGAUUGUAAACCCCUGUCAUGUGGGAGCAAAAUAAAAAGAUAGUACCACAAGAGGAAGAGACGGCUAACUCUGUGCCAGCAGCCGCGGUAAUACAGAGGUCUCAAGCGUUGUUCGGAAUUCCUGGGCGUAAAGCGUGCGUAGGCUGUUUCGUAAGUCGUGUGUGAAAGGCGCGGGCUCAACCCGCGGACGGGACAUUAUACUGCGAGACUUGAGUAAGUGGGGGGGAGCCGGAAUUCUCGGUGUAGCAGUGAAAUGCGUAGCUAUCGAGAGGAACACUCGUGGCGAAGGCGGGUUCCUGGACAUUAACUGACGCUGAGGCACGAAGGCCAGGGGAGCGAAAGGGAUUAGAUACCCCAGUAGUC
rnacentral:rRNA from 1 species